AAUGGAGGAAACUCUGAUGCAGCGAUGCCGCGUGAGUGAAGAAGGCCUUUGGGUUGUAAAGCUCUUUCGUCGGGGAAGAAAAUGACUGUACCCGAAUAAGAAGGUCCGGCUAACUUCGUGCCAGCAGCCGCGGUAAUACGAAGGGACCUAGCGUAGUUCGGAAUUACUGGGCUUAAAGAGUUCGUAGGUGGUUGAAAAAGUUGGUGGUGAAAUCCCAGAGCUUAACUCUGGAACUGCCAUCAAAACUUUUCAGCUAGAGUAUGAUAGAGGAAAGCAGAAUCUCUAGUGUAGAGGUGAAAUUCGUAGAUAUUAGAAAGAAUACCAAUUGCGAAGGCAGCUUUCUGGAUCAUUACUGACACUGAGGAACGAAAGCAUGGGUAGCGAAGAGGAUU
rnacentral:rRNA from 1 species